GGUGAGGUUGUGGGCAGCCAGGGCUCUGUGAGUCUCGCGGUAACUGGGUAAAAGGGGGAGGUGAGGUUUUUAUGCCUUUUGUUGCUUUGCUCGGGGCAGAAGGAAUCCACGGUGACAUCGGUCACAACCUUAUUUUGCAGUUGUGGGAUGUUGGAAGGUAAGCUUUUCCCUAAGCUCCAUGACCUAUAGACCCAAGGGGUAUUUAAUGAGGGGGGGUGGGCAUCGCAGGAGACCCAUGGUCUCCUCCCUCAGGGCAGGUCUGUGCCGUGCUCGGAGAAAGGGCGCUAGACUCAGGUGGUCCUGCCUAAACGUCAUCGUCCCGUUCUCUGGAUCCCACCUGCUUCCCAGGGGUUAGGUGGCAUCGUGGCGUCUUGGGUCCUGUACAGGGGACUUUUCAAGGGUCUCCCAUAACAGGUGUGAGGUUAUCUACCUGUAACGGGUGGUAUUGUGAAGACACAGGUGAGAGCUGCCUGCAGAAGGUGACCACAGCCUUCAGCAUCGUGUUUACAUCCUCCUGACAUCAGCCUGGUAGAUGCCAUAUGAGGUCGUUUCCCACGGGGAACUGACGUUUACUCUGCAUGGCCAACCUCACAAGCUAACCUCCGUGGUGCCCACAGUGCCUGUCGCAGGGGAGGGAGGAAGAGGAAGCUUGUGGCAGAGGAAGGUCUGGCGUUAAACAAGGAAGACCACCAUGGAGAAGGAAGUGGCCUGUCCCCUCUGAGGCUGGGAAGUGGGUGUGAGUUGCCAGGGAGGGCGAGGGGACCAGAUUAGGGCGAUGGCAAAGGAGAGCACCGGGCUGAGGGUGGGAGGGUCCGGCUGGACUCAGGGAGCCUUGAAGUCCCAGCAGAAUCGCUUGACUUGAUUCUAUAGGAAAUGGCAUGGACUUACGUGGGAAGCCACACAGACUUGUCCUCUGGCUGAGGUCUAGCUGAGAAACUUUCCCAGGCGGAGAGAAGGGCACGGGUGGCUCACGCAAGCGGAGAGACAUGUAACCAAGCGUGUCCUGCCGGCCCUGUCGCUAAACCAAAUCCUCACGGUGGGGAUUAUCCAUUACUUUGUGUAGUUCUUCAAGUCUCCUAAAUCCUCUUGGUCCCGAGCAUGGCUAAUCCAGGUCUUACAUACACGCGAUGUUUCACAAGCCUUCACAGGACCGUCGUCUUGUCAGGAGGAGAAACGGAGGCUGUGGUUUAGGAGCUGCCCCAGAGUCACCAUGGAGUUGGACAGAGCAUGGGCCGCCCGCCCCUUCAUUCAGUGACCUGGUUUUUAAACCUGGUUCUUUCCCAGUAUCUUAGACAGAGAGGAGGAAAGGAUAUACUUAAGAGAGGGCAUUGGGACAAACAGCCAUUUAAAUUGCUUCUGCGUAAAGGCGGGGUGGGAAUUCCUAUUCCCCCGAUAUUCCAUCGGCGGAUUGGUGAGCAGAGAGCCGGAGGAAGAGUGAGAGUUUGGCAGGUUCAGAAAGAAAUACACUCAAUCCUUCACCGUGUGGGAUGGAGGGCUGGGGGGAGGAGGGAGAGGUGAACCUGAGAUGGGGGGCCUUGCUGCCUUGGGGGAGGCCUGAAGGUGUGAGGUCCCCGCGCACCUGCCUCUCUCAGGGGACCCUUUGCUAAGAGUGUGGGGCGAGGGGCUUGGGCGUCCGGGCCUCCCCCUGGGGGCUGACCCCUCUGACUUUCUCCCCACCCUCCCCGGAGCUGCCGCUGCCACCCUUUGCCCUCCUCCUCCCCUGGGUGGCCUCCUGCUUUCCUUCCCUGGGGCCGUGAGAGUGGCUGGGGCACCCGUCCAGGUGAGGAAGCCAGCCUCACGUCCUGGUCCCCAGUAAGUGUGUGAGUGUGAGCACGAGUGUGUGUGGGCCCGGGGCUGGGAUCGCCCACAGAUGAGAGCUCGGGAGUAGAGAGCUUCUAGCGGGUGGGGUCGCCCUGCCUUUGAGCCCGAGGACCUGUCGCUGGGACCCACCACCAACUCCAGCACCCUGAGCGGCCAGAGCACGUGGGGCACCAAGCAGAGGAGCCGGGGAGACGCGACGGGGGUGAGUGGAGCCCUGGACGCACUGGGUGGGGCUGGGCUCGGGGAGAUGCGGAGAAGCCACGAUGCUCAGAAGUGCUGAAGGCCGAGCGAGAAGAGGCGGACACGGGGGCGGGGGUGGGGGGGGCGCGUCCUGCCUCUCUGCCCCUCCCCGCAGAGGCGUGCCGCGCAAUAGCCACGCCCCUCCCCUGGGCCCCCCGCAAUCUGGGCGCAGAGUGAUGGCCGAUGGAAUCUCCCCGAAGGGGACCGUGGCUGGUCGUCCAGUGUCCAAGGGUGGGACAGCGGGGCUGCCAGCCCGUGGCCGGGGGUCCUAGCCCCUCAACUCACGCUGCGGCGGAGGGAGGGCGUGGGCGGAGGGAGGUGGUCUGCACAAGACCCCCAAACCCCAGUUCUACUCCUAGGUGCUCGCGACGGCCCUGGUCCUGGAGAAGCUUUGGAAUAAAUACCCGUGGGCCUUAGAAAACAGAGACCCGAGGCCGGAGUCCUGGUUUCUGGUGCACUGGUCGCUGCCAGUCACCCCCUUCCUAGCCUUCUAUCUGCUCCUGGCGGUGACAGGUCCUCGCCUCGUGUCCCGUCGGGAGCCUCUGAGGCUGGCAGGACCCCUCGCGGCCUACAACCUGGGCCAGGUGCUUCUCUCGGGGGUACAUGUUCUAUGAGGUAAGGCCGGUGGGGGGCCCUGCAGUCCUAGGGUCUCUUUUGUGGGGGUGCCAGGGGACAAUUAAAACCACGAUCUUCCCAUGCAGACAGCUGAAAAGCCUUGAUGGGGAUCUGCAGGGGCUGGGGUCCUGGGUUAUUUUUGGCUGCGAUAUCUUCCCUAUGGCGAUACAAAUCCCCAUCGCUUACGCCCAUUGUCCUUUUCCUGAAAUAAAAAAGUGGAGGUCGGUGGCAAGCAAGAAUGGAAUUCGUCCUCCACCUGCACCUAAAAGCCCACCACUACCUCCUGUUUCUGCCGGGCUCUGCUAAGUUCAGCCCAGUUUUCUGAUCCUUCCUGACGCCUUGUUUUCGGCAAAUAGUCCGUCAGCCCGUGUGCACUGUGUGCCUGCUUUGUGCCGGACCAGGCGGUUGCAAGUCAGCGCGAGCGGGGCCACAGAGAGCACGCACCCGGGACAGGGCGGGCGGAGCGGCAGGGACCCCGCUGGGGUGCCCGGAGAAGCUUUUCAGAGAAAGCGGUCCUGCCGGCUGACAUGUAAAGUGGUCACCGCAGCGAGGCCGUGCGCUGCAGCCUUUGUGAAGAUCUGCUCAUCCCACCCUCUGUCACGGGGCACGGUGCAGGUAAGUACCUUGGCAGGUGGCAGGGCGCCCUGGCCGCAAGCUCGCCUCCAUCCUUCCUGCCUCCGUGCCAGCAGGGACCAGGCAGGCGGUCCAGCCUGAGGAAGCAGGUCCGGACAGCUCUGCCUUGUUCGUUCACCAUCUCUCCCUUAGUGAUUGGCCUGCCUUCCUUGCUCCGCACUGCUGCCCAAAUGAUCCUUCCCAGCCACCGGAAGGGUCCUGCCAUGCCCCCAGCGGCCCUGAUGUCUUCCUGGCCAGCAGGGCUGAGGCAAGUCUCCUCCACUGGGUGUACGGGGCCUCCCAGGUCCUCUCUGGCCUCAGCUUUCCUUUCCAGCCUCACCUCCCUCCACACCCCGUGGUCGCCCUGCUCACCUGCCUUGCAGCCCCGCUGGGUCAGGCCCAAGGCCCUGGCAACUGACUGUUUUUCUGCCAGAAAUGCUCUUCUCCCCUGGUGCCCAGGCAAAUCCCCGCACGUCCUAUAGACUCAGGUCUUUGUCACCUCUUGUGAAGUUUCCCUGAGUCCCCAGGGCUGGGUUAGUUGUCCCGUCACUUGCUUUUCACUUCUGCUCUCCGUGGUGGACGGGCAGCCCCACCAGCUGGCGAGCUCUAAAUGUGAGUGUCUGCAUCUCCCCAGCUCCAAGUUCAGUGACCUCCUUUGAGAUCAGCCAGGGUGAGAGGAUUUACACCUUAGGAACGGGCAGACACUGCCAAUCAGCCCCUCCCCGCCGAGAGCCUGCUAGGCACUGACCAGCCGCAGCCUUCACUCUGACCCACCCCUGUUUCAUCAUGUACACGUUCGUCUGUCUCCCCUCCAAAUGGCAAAGUGCUUCGGAGCACAGCCAUCUCUUAUUCUCUUUGUAAAGACAGGCCCCACAUCACGUCUGGUACCACGUGGAAGACACUGAUACCUUGUGAGACAUGUCCUAGGGUUUGCCAUUUAAUUGUGGUGACAGAUGACUGCUGCCACCGCGAUCCUCUGAUAGUCUGCUGUGCCCAUGUUGGCGUCCUGCUCAGAAGCCCUCCGUAGCUCCCUUUGCCAAUAUAACCUGAAUGCAGAGGCCCUCGUGUAGGGGUUUUUAUCUGUUUUAUCAUCGAGGUGGCUCGGGGCUCAGCGCAGGGCCCAGCGUGGAGAAGUGUUUAGGACCAGUCAACGCGUCAUUGUCAAAUGAGUAAACAAAUGAUAAAAUUCAAGUUUCUUAAAGCAGCCUUCAAGACCCCUCGUGAACCGAUUCCGCUCCCUCUCAACUUCUGUGGCUGCCCCUCCCCUGGUAGAAGUCUCCACUUGCAGCCCUGGAGAGUUAGGAGAGGUCCAGACACUCUCCUCCUGGCAGAAAGCUCCCUUUCCUCCCCUCCAUUUGCCCACGGCCUCCUCAUUCUCAGCCGGCUACCAACUUCUGGGACGUCUCCUGUUUCUUACUCUUCAUCUGGCCUCAACCUUGAAAGGGAGGAUGGUUUCGUGCAUCCUCGGGGAAGCUCUCAGCUUCUCGGGGGCAGGGGUGCUGACGUGUGCACGGCUUCAUGUCCCCUCCUGACUUACGGUCUCACACAUGGUAGGUGCCCAGCGUGGGUUUGUGGUCUAUAUUUGCCCCCAUCAGAAAAAAAACUGGAGACCAGCAAGAUGUAUGCAAGUCCUAGCCUGUGAUCUAGCCAGUGCACAGAGUUUACCCGGUUGGCGAUUGUUCACCAAGUGUCAGUGAGGGUUGGGGAGGGAUGCUGGUGUCCAGAACAUGUCCGGAGGUGGCAGCAGCCUCUCGGGCCUUCAACCGGUGAGACCCCACCACGGUGAGGGUGGGGCAGGUGUCAUGACUCAAUCUUGUUCUGUUCUCUUCCUGUUAGUUCAUGGCCACCCCGCUCCUGGCUAAUUACAGCUAUUUCUGCCAGCCAGUGGACGACAGCCAGAGUGAGCUCGGGAUAAGGGCAUGGCGGGGAGUGGGAGGUCUGGGCCUGGAGAGAGGGUUCAUAGGAUGAACUUCAUAAAAACCAGAACUUGACCCAAGAAUUCCAGUGGGAGGUAGUGACCUGAUUAGUUCAGUACAGGCUCAGAAGACCUCAGUUUGCAUCCCAGCUCUGCCAGUUCCUUGCUAUGUGAGUGUAGGUAGUUUAUUACCUUUUACAGGCCUCAUUUUUCUUAUCUAUAAAAUGGGGAUGAUAACACCUACUUCAUAAAAGGAAACAAUUGGGAGAAGGUUGAACCAGCUGAUGUAUGAAAGUGUUUAGCCCUGGGCCUGGCACACCUUGAGUGAGAGCCCAGUGGUCCAUAUUUCAUGACUUUUAGCUGUUCUCUCUUUCAACCAGAAGCAGAACAAAAGUCUUCCUUGCAGCAAAAAAUAAAUUGAGCUGAGGCGUAGCAAGUCACCAGGCAGUGACGUGGGUGUUGAAUCAAGGGAUACUGAACGAUGGCUUAAGGUCCUGCUGUUCAAAAUGUGGUCCACGGACCAGCGGCAUCAACAUCACUGGAAGCUUGUUGGAAAUGCAGACUCUCAUGUCCCUGGACACCGAUUGGGAAUCUGCUUUCCAACAAACAAGAUCCCGGGUGAUCCGUGUGCUGGUUAAAAGUGAUGACUUGGGAGGUUGGGACUGACAUAGAUACACUAAUAUUUAUAAAAUGGAUAACUAAUAGGAACCUGCUGUAUAAAAAAUAAAUAAAAUAAAGUUCAAAAAUUAAAAGAAAAAAAGAAAAGUUUUCAGCUAAUAAAUGAAGAAGGAAUGACACACACAAAAAAGUCAUGGCUCCAGGCUGGGGCAUGUUUGGAGAGAGCUUCUGUUAUCACUCCCAGUAGCUUCUCUUCCUCUUUUCUGUGCUAACAGGCAUCUUCUUGCAGACAGGUGGGCACUGUGGGAGCAGGGGGUACAGAGGGAUUGCCAGGGCGAGUGGCACCACCAGCAGGACAGUGGUCUGACUGCACGUCCCCUCCCUGCCCAGCAGGUGGCGAGCGGGUGCUGGCGGUGCUUCUCAAAGGCCGUUGAAUUGCUUGGCACGGUCUUUUUAUUCUACGAAAGAAGCCCGAACAGCUCACCUUCCUGCACGUCUACCUCCAUGGCCCUGUGCUCCUCAACGGACAUAUCUGAGGGGCAACAGGAGAAGCUGACUUAAGGGGCGGGACCAAGGACUGAGGCUAACAGAGCCGUCCCCAGAGAGAGUUUGGUGGAAGAUGGCGUGACUCACGUCCCACUCAUGACGAGCAGAUUCCUCUGGGCCCCGCACUUCAUCCUAUGAGGGAAGGACAAUACUCGCCUCCUUCCAGAGUUGAGGAGAACAGAAAUGGACCAGCUUCCUGAACUCACUUCUCCUGUGGAUUUGUCACUGUUUGUACACCUCCUUCCUCUACUAGACAUGAUCCCCCCACAGGAGGGAUCGUCUUACUCUCAGUGUUUCCCAGACCUGGCACAGCAACUCAAUAAAUGUGCAUUUAGAUCCCAAUCUUCCCCCACUGGCAGUCGUGGCCUCUGAUGAGAAGCAGGGCUGAGAGCAGCAAGGAAGUCAGGGUUGGCUUGAUCUCUCACCUUGCAGGCUGGGUCAAUGACCGAGAACAUCCAAGGAGUGCGGGUCUGUGUGAUUUCUAGCAUGGUUGUGCAAACGGUCCCCCUGCAUAUCUCUCUGUCUGUUCAUGAGUGCCCACACAUGUAUUUACAUAGUUGUAUGAUUCUGUGUGUGAGCAUGGGGGGGGGCGGAGAGGGCUACACAUAUAUGUCUGACUACUUGUUUUCAAAUCACAUGUGUGUUUCUGUUUAUGAUCUUCUCUGUUGAUGUUUCUUUGCUUGCCUCUUCUGUAAAUCUCGGAAAAUGCCACACUAGCAAAUAAAAGCUAUUGGGAUCCGUAACUUUCCUCUCCCAAUGGGAGACAUGGAUGUCCACAAGAGGUCUCCGAAUACAUGUUCCACGGAGAGCCUCCCAAAAGGGAUGUGAGUAAAGGAGGGGUGGGGUUAAACAAACGCAGCCAUCCACUUCACAGAGAGAGAAAGAGAGGACCAGCAAAAGGAAGUGUACAACUGAGGCCGCGUGGGAUGUUGGAAGCAGACAUCUGCUGCGCUGUUUAUGACCGGAACUGGAUGGGAGCCUGGAAUGCAGUUUUCCUGGGAGCUGCCUCUAUGCUUGCAGGAUGCUGUUCUCCUUUAUAAUCUCCCCCCGUACUCUUCUCCUUCACUCGGGAAGUUCUUAUUUUGCCGUAAGAACUCAACAGUCAAGAACAUUAAAGACCUGCUGAAGUUUCUGCAAGGCUAUUUGUGGACUAUUUAUCUAUCCAUCAGGUACUCUAGUUAAUUACCUCAAGGCCAGGCAGGGCUGCACCCUGUGGGCAGAAUACUCAGCGAAAAUUCCCUCUCAGUUUUGCAGGAUAUGAACGCCUCCCACACACUUUUCCACAGCAGGUUGAGUGCCUUCGCAGGUGGGGGCUUAUUUUAAGGCAAUCAUUUUUUUCUUUUUUUCUUUACUGCCUAAGAGUAAGGUCUGUUCGUUUGCUUAGCAGCCAGGAUAAGGGAAAGAGGAGUCACCCCAGAGUUCAGAGCUAACAUUUGUCCUCUGUGGCUGCCUCUGACUGAUUAGCACAAGAGGAAACGCUGUGUCCUGGAUCAGCUCUGAAUGAAAUAAGGUUUUGGCAGAGAGAGCCCAGCAUUAAGCGGCAUGGUGGAGAGGGUUUGGGGAAAAAUUCUCAGUGAGCUGAAAGCGUCCAUCCUUAUUUUAACCUGCAUUUUACUGUAAUGACCUCAUUCACGGCUGCUGGGCGGGAUGUUGUAUAUCGGUGUAGAGAGGUUGUGUGAAAUUAUAAAACACAAAGUUAUUUGUAUUUGUCAGAACGCAGCCAGAUUCCUAAUUAACAUGGCAGAAGUUCACGUCUAUGAACUUUUGAAGAUAAUGGGAAUCAGGAGUGCUGGUUAAAUUUUUUUUUUUUUUUUGGCGGUACGUGGGCCUCUCACCGUUGUGGCCUCUCCUGUUGCGGAGCACAGGCUCCGGACACGCAGGCUCAGUGGCCACGGCUCACGGGCCCAGCCGCUCCGCGGCAUGUGGGAUCUUCCCGGACCGGGGCUCAAACCCGUGUCCCUUGCAUCGGCAGGCGGACUCUCAAGCCCUGCACCACCAGGGAAGCCCUGGUUAGAUUUUUAAAUCUAUAACAGGGCUGUGCUAUUGCCCAGAGAGUGUCCAUUUGCCAAGACACAGCGGUCCAGAUUGCCCAGGGGAAGGUCACAGAGACAGAAGGGGGGUGUACCUCCCACGAGGUGGCCGGAGCUACUGGUCUGGGUCCCCGGCUAUCACCUCGUAAAUCAGAGCGCACCUAAUUAAAGGAAUGAAAACCACCCCACACGGAGCAGCUUCCUGGUCCUCUCCCAGCUCAGAAUUCAGUGAAGACCCCCUGCCUGUCCCCAUAUGCAUCCUGCUGUCCACUCAGCUGUCCGUACGUCCCCAAGGCUGCUGCGUCUGAGCAGGCUUCUGGAGCCAGGAAUCAGAGGAAGAGGCCAGUCUCCUUUCUGUCACCCUGCUUUCUCUCCCUCUUUCUCUAGUUCUCUGUAUAAAUGGCGGUGAGGGGGGGAUCCCUCGAAGAGAGAAAGCAGCCUCUGCCUUUGGUCUUUUGCCCGUGAGGAGACUUAGGGCAAAAUGUCUGUUACAAAGGAGAACUUUAAUUAGGGUUUGUGACUUCCGAACCUCAGAUCAGGAGCUAAGACCUUAUGGAUGUGUGGUGGAAAGAGGAGGGAAUAAACUACCAAAGAAAUGAAAGACCUUGGCUUCGAGGCUCUGCACUGCAGUGGGGGGAGGGUGGGUGAGGACUCGUGAAUAAAAUUGGGGAAGGUUCAUGUAAGCGGACCACACAGACCCAUGAUCAAGGGGACCAUGCUGGACAGAGACAGCCCGGCUCCUCAGAAGCCACGGCUGAGGCCACAGCCUGCCUUUGCCCUCUUGCUGCCUGGGGAAGGGAUGGGGCCUCACAUCAUCUUUUAGUGCCCUUUUCACGUCUAGGAUUCAGUAUAGGAGUUGCUUUCAGCUAAAGAUAUACUCUGAUAGAGAUGGAAUAAUAACCUAUGUUCACUAAGAACCCUCCUUUUACAACCAUUUAAUAAUUUAGCGAUGCAACGUUAAACAAAAACGUAGACGCAUCCCAGCUUUGCAAAGAAUUUCAUCUAAAAUGUAAACGCAAAAACGUUAACCAUCAGAUGGUGAGAUUACGGUUGUUUGCAAUUUCUUUGUAUUCCCUGGUGCCUGCCAUGCCUGUUCUUUUUUGAAUCAUAAACGUUUACUCCUGCAAUGUGAUGAAUUCAGGAUACCUCAGCUGUUCUUUUUUCCUGAGAAUUAUGGAAGCAUCGAUUGGAUCCGCUCAUCAAGCUUCAUGCUGCGGUGGAUGCAACCUUGACCCCACUGGUGACCUCUCAGUGCUUCCAUACACACCUCAGGGGCUCGCUGACGCACUGGGCUCUGGGCAAGGGGUCGGACACAACCUGACUGAAUUUGCACUGUAAGGACCAGGUAAUUGCUUAAAAAGCCAACCUUUACCGAAAGUUAGGAAGAAAUCCAGCUGCUCUCAGUGUGGGAGGGGAAGAAAACUGAACAAAACUGAUACAUGAUGUCAGAUAUGAAGAUGGCUGAAUCCAACCUUCCUGCUGGCUCCAUUCCUGGGUUUGAAGUCAGCUCCCAGGACAUGACAAGUGUGAACUCUAAACAGAAACAAAAACACCUUCUUAUGAAUUAAUGAGGACUUCCCUGGUGGCCCAGUGGGUGAGACUCCGAGCUCCCCACGCAGGGGACCUGGGUUCAAUCCCUGGUCAGGGAACUAGACCCCGCAUGCGUGUGGCAGCUAAGAGUCCUCAUAUGGCAACCAAACUAAACUAAAUAAAUAGACAAAAAAUAAAAGGAUCCCGCGUGCCGCAAGGAAGAUCCCGCGUGCUGCAUCUAAGACCCAGCACAGCCUAAAUAAAUAAAUCUUAAAAAAAAACCCCAAAUAAACAAACAAAAAGAACACUUAAAAAAAAAGUGUUAAUGAAAAUGCGAUACAUCCAAGAGCUAACUUUUGCCCAGGACCACGGACUCCUUUUGAAUUCCUAGGAAAGGUUUCUUGGAAUGAGACUUUAAAGAGGAGAAGGGGUCUUCACAUCUGUAACCGCAGCGGGUCGGUGGCUGUGAAUGGUAAUGAUCCCCAACCUACAGGCCUGUCGAGUUUCAAAUGACCUUAGGAUUGAAAAACUGUUCUUCUUUUUCUACCUCUGUAAGUCUAUUUCUGUUUUGUAGAUAAGUUCAUUUGUAGCCUUUUUAGAGAUUCCACGUAUAAGCAAUAGCAUAUGAUAUUUGUCUUUGUCUGAUUUACUUCACUCAGCAUGACAAUCGAGGAAUAAAUUGGGAGAUUGGACUGACAUGUACACACUACUAUAUAUAAAAUAGGUAACUAAUAAGGGCCUACUGUAUAGCACAGGGAACUCAAUACUCUGUCAUGACCUAUAUGGGAAAAGAAUCUAAAAAAGAGUGGAUCUAUGUAUAUGUAUAACUGAUUCACUUUGCUGUACAGCAAAAACUAACACAACAUUGUAAAUCAACUAGACGGGCCCAGCUGCUCCGCGGCAUGUGGGAUCCUCCCGGACCGGGGCACGAACCCGCGUCCCCUGCAUCGGCAGGCGGACUCUCAACCACUGCGCCACCAGGGAAGCCCCUGUUUUUACAUUUCUAAAAAAAUUUUAAUUUUUUUAAAUUGGAGUAUAAUUGAUUUACAAUGUUGUGUUAGUUUCAGGCGUACAGCAAAGUGUUUCAGUUAUUUAUAUAAAUAACUGAAAUAAUAUAUAAAUACAUAUAUAUAUAAUAUAAAUACAUAUAUAUAAUAUAUAAAUAGGUAUAUGUUCUUUUCCAUUAUAGGUUAUUAUCAAUACAAGAUAUUGAAUAGAGUUCCCUGUGCUCUACAGUAGGUCCUUGUUGUUCAUCUAUAUUAUAUACGGUAGUUUGUACCCGUUAAUCCCAAACUCCUAAUGUAUCCCUCCCCCUACCUUUCCCCACCAUCACACUUUAAUUAAACACUGAAUGUGUGUGAGUAGCGCUCAGCCUACACCUGACAGCUGACGUCUUCCAGGGGCCUUUGCAGGGAUGCAGUGUGGCACACUACAGAAGAAACAUUGGUUACAAAAGCUUUGUGUUUUAUAUUAGCGUCUGUGAGCCUGGAGACUUCCGGAAACGUGAGCUCGCUGUAAGGAGUUUCCAGCAGUCGCCGUGGAGGCUUUUUAAUGACUCAGCUGGCUUGGCUGCACCAGUUCCCCAGGACUCCCUUCCCAGUCUGUUUUGGGUCCGAGUGGGCACAGGAGACAUUUUGCAGGAGGUCUGAGGGGACAGCUGUGUCAUUUUCAUUCUUGAAGGCUGGGCGUGUGCCUUCGUAGCUCACACGCUGUCACUCAUCUGCCGACCCGCGUCCUGGGCGUGGGCGGCAGGUGGGCCAUCCCUGGGGUCCUCACCCUCUCUGGUCCCUGGGCCACACGUGGGUUUGGUGCCACCACAGAGGGCUUCUCCUGCAGGACGAGCCUGUCACUGGGCGGAAGCGGGGUGAGGGGAGGAGGCGGUAAGAACUGACAGGGGCUUCAUCCUUCUGCCCUGGGGAUGCGGCUCAUCCAUAACCCCUGCCAGCUCGCUUGCCAGCCUCCGCCCCGGGGAGGGUCAGAGCCCCGCAGCUGCACAGCGCCAGCCCCUGUGAUGGAGUCUUCAUCACACAGGCCUCUGGUCAAACCGUGCCUGAUGCCAUCUACUUGCAGGUGCACCAGGUCCACAAACUCAUAGAAAACCCUGAUCAGAAAAUGGAGAGAAGUCCCCUGGGGCAUAUCUCCAGCGGGAGGAGAGGAUAGUUGGAGAUUAUGUGAGUGUGCCGUCUCCAGCCUCACUGAGUUUGGGGAUCUGAGAGAAGAGAGACCUCAGUGAAGUUCAAGGAGAUGACACAUCUUGUAGGUGAAUGUGCUAACAGACAAUGGCCAGACCAUAUACAGAAGUAGAACUCGGAACCACAGUCUGCAGAACCAGCCCAGGAAACCAGCCUGCCAUCCACAAGCAGACUUUGAGGAAGUCAGACCGCCAACUCUAGCAACUGGUCCAGGAAGACAAACAAUAACCCCUAUAACAAUCGCUCCCCAACACUGGACCUGAUGAAUAACUGGCAGCUUCCCUAACCUUUGUCCCUGCUUCCAACUUAGGACCAAUCAGAGAGAGCUAAGUUCCAAUCACAUAGGAUGUUCCACUUCUAUCAGAGUGUUCUCCAGGCCAACAGUUUCCAACCAGGGCACACCUGAAGCCUUCUCUUUUUCCACUGUCAAGCUAUCCCAUCUGUCUGCCUUUGAAUCUCUGCCAAAACACAAGUGAUGGGGGCUGCCUCCUGCUCUAGCUGGCUCCGAAUACAUGGCCUUUGCUUGUUCCCAUUUGUCUGGUCUUUGUUUAUUUUCACAUCGAGAAGUCUUCGGGGCCUGCACAGGUAGUGGCCUUAAGGUCAGAGGAUGAUAUGGUCUGCUUAUGCUGAAGAGGACCUGAGACAUCUCCCCAAGUUUCCUGUGGCUUUGCACUAGCCCAGAAGGUAGGGUUGCCAGAUAAAAGGCAGGAUUCCCGGAUACACUUGAAUUUCAAAAAAAAAAAAAAGAAAAAAAAGCAAUGAAAAUUUUUAGUGUAAAUAUGUCCUAAGCAGUAUUUGGGGCAUACUUAUGCUAAAAAAGUAUUCUUUGUUUAUCUGAAGUUCAAAUAUAACUGGGUGUCCUAUAUUUUUAUCUGCUAAAUCUGGUCACCCUACAGGACAGCAACGAAAAGUUCUCAUGCCUCACUCCCACAAGUUGCAAAAAAAGUUAAGGAAGAGAAGGAGAGACAGCCCUGGUGGGGCUUUAAGAAGUUUCAGAGCUAAUAGGAAGGGGAACAUAUUGGAGGCAACAUGGGAAACCCUCCCAGGAUUGAACGAGGAUUCAGCGGCAUCUCAUGGGAUUUCCAGGCUGAAGGAGGGAUGGUAAGAACUAGAAGAGAAAUGAUUAUUCUGGUGCAGGAGUAUGAGAUCAAGACAUACGUAGGCCUAGAAGUGUAUGCCUGCUUCUCACCAACACUGCAGCUGCAUUUCUCUAAGCACAGCUUCCCUGACGCCCACCUCAAGCUUCGCAUCAACCCCAGGAAGAAGGAAAGGGUUUGGGGGAACUAGCCUGAAUAUGACUGUUAUCAACCUGAAAUGACAUUUUAGGAUUUCUAGGGGAGUGUGCUGACAUUGCCAAAAUGAACUGGUUUACCCGGAAAGGACGAGAUUAAUUUUCUGCAGUUAGUGUGGAGCCUCGAUGUUAAAAAGCAAAUCGAGUGAUCAGAAAGUUUUAAGGAAUUAACAUUUUGCACACAUGAGUUCACUGUCUGUGAGGCUUUCAAAAAUUAAUAGUCACCGUAUAUAUGGGCUUCAGGUCUUUUUCAGCACCGAUUGGAGAUAUACGACACCUUUUGAAAAAUAAAAUCUCCCCAUCCCAUCCCCGGACCCUCACUCCCCCACCUGGCAAUUUGCCUGGGGAGCCAUUUUCUCCAGAGAGAAACGUUGACUCUCACUCUAGCUGGUCUGUAUUAGGAAAACAGUAGUUUUAUUUUUCAUCUUCGAAAUAGUCAAUAACAUUAUUUGAUUGAAUAUACUUUUCAACCUUCAUAUUCAUCCCCCGUUCCUUUAAUACAGUUUUUUUGUGGUACGCGGGCCUCUCACCGUUGUGGUCUCUCCUGUUGCGGAGCACAGGCUCCGGAUGCGCAGGCUCGGAGGUCAUGGCUCACGGGCGCAGCCGCUCCGCGGCAUGUGGGAUCCUCCCGGACCGGGGCACGAACCCGCGUCCCCUGCAUCGGCAGGCGGACUCUCAACCACCGCGCCACCAGGGAAGCCCCCUUCCCCAAUUCCUUUAAUGUUGACAAAACCUGCCUGGACUCCUCAUGCUUAGACUCGCUGACUUGAAGGUUUCUUUGUUUUCCUGAUUCUUCCUGCACAGCAAAUUGAUGAUGAUGAUGAAGGUGAUGAUGGCCAUGGUGACAACAGAGCCGCCCCUGACAGAGGCGCUGCUGGAUCGCACUUACUUUCUGGGUGGCUGAUCUGGGUAACAGCCCUGGAUGCUAAAUAUUACCAUCUCCAUUUUACAAAUGAGAGAAGGGAGGCUCAGAGAGGUUCAGAGACUUGCUCGGGGUGACACGGAGACUUGUUCAGGUGGUGGAAUGGGAUCUAAACUCGGAAUUUUCUAAAACCCUAAUCCAAUAAGAUACAUGCACCCCUACGUUCAUAGCAGCGCUAUUUCACAAUAGCCAAGACAUGGAAGCAACCUAAAUGCCCAUCAACACAUGAAUGGACAAAGAAGAUGUGGCACAUAUACACAAUGGAUCACUACUCAUCCAUAAAAAAGAAAGAAAUGAUGUCAUUUGCAGCAACAUGGAUGCAACUAGACAUUAUCAUACUAAAGGAAGUAAGUCAGAAAGAGAAAGACAAAUACCAUAUGAUAUCACUUAUAUGUGGAAUCUAAAACAGGACACAAAUGAACCUGUCUAUGAAACAGAAACAGACUCAUGGACAUAGAGAACAGACUGGUGGUUGCCCUGGAGGAGGGAUGGAAUGGGAGGCUGGGGUUAGCAGAUGUAAGCUUUUAUGUAUAGGUUGGAUAAACAACAAGGUCCAACUGUAUAGCCCAGGGAACUAUAUUCAGUGUGCUAUGAUAAACCAUAAUGGAAAGGAAUAUUUUAAAAAAGAAUAUAUAUAUGUAUAACUGAGUCACUUUGCUGUACAGCAGAAAUUAACACAACAUUGUAAAUCAACUGUACUUCCAUAAAAAAAUUUAAAAAUAAAUAAAUCAAUCCAGA